GAUGAACCCUAAAAAGUUCUUUAGGCAC
rnacentral:tRNA from 1 species